ACCCAGGUGGCUCAGUCGGUUAAGCGUCUGACUUCGGCUCAGGUCAUGGUCUUGUGGUUUGUGAGUUUGAGCCCCGCCUUGGGCU
rnacentral:tRNA from 1 species